GAAAUGCGAUAAGUAAUGUGAAUUGCAGAAUUCAGUGAAUCAUCGAAUCUUUGAACGCACAUUGCGCCCGCCAGUAUUCUGGCGGGCAUGCCUGUUCGAGCGUCAUUUCAACCAUCAAGCCCCCGGCUUGUGUUGGGGACCUGCGGCUGCCCGCAGGCCCUGAAAAACAGUGGGGGGCUCGCUGUCACACCGAGCGUAGUAGCAUACAUUCUCGCUCAGGGCGUGCUGCGGGUUCCGGCCGUUAAACGACCUUCAUAACCCAAGGUUGACCUCGGAUCAGGUAGGAAGACCCGCUGAACUUAAGC
rnacentral:misc_RNA from 1 species